ACACACAGAGAUUGGAGAGAGACAGGAGAGAGACAUGUUUUCAUCUAUCCUUUGUGGACUUCUGUUGUUUUUACUGCUGUGAAAUUUGACUUGCGAUAUCUGCUUGUAAAACAUCAUCAAAUCCAAAUUCAUUAUAUUCCACUUUUUCUAUUACAUGAAAGCAAUGAAGAGAAAAGCUGAAGUCAGUGAUUAGGAGUGUCUGUGUAAGUAAAAGCAACAGGCAAUUACUGAGUGUGGUGUGAGAGGCACGGAAAGAUUGGGAAUUCAGCAAGAAGAGGAAUUGAAGUCAAACCUCACCUACUUCCCAGAGUCUUCUGGAUUUUCUGUUAGAAGCUUCAGUAUCUGAGAUAUUCCUAUGCAUUCUACUGCUUUAAUCCCACCUAAGUAGAGAUGUCCACAACAGAGAGAAUGGAGCUGUCACAUCGUUUCAACUGCCCAGGUAGUUCCUACUGGAUGAAUGGGAUUGUCACCUUCACACCUGCUAGAGGCUUGGAGCAUGCAAGAGUUUUUUUAAAUGGCUUCACCUUUCUUAUGAAAAUGCAACCACUAGUACUCUUCCAAUAAAAGCUUUUCUCAAGUAAUCCCACCCAUCCUAAGGCAUUACAUUUAGUCAUCAUAGCUCUUUCUUCACAGAAUUAGAAAAAACUACUUUAAAUUUCAUAUGGAACCAAAAAAGAGCCCAUAUAGCCAAGAAAAUCUUAAGCAAAAA
rnacentral:lncRNA from 1 species